CUACAGGAACAGCUUUGGGGGGGCGUGGGGGGUCCUGCCGCAGCCUCGGAAGCACUCGGGGCGUCCCCGGUACCGUACGCCGGGAGCUAUUGACCGUUUCCAGUAGCCGGGAGGUAACCUCGCAGAUAAAGGGGCUUUGCCCGGCACUUUUGUACUCCAGGAGCACUGGAGCACGGGUUCCUGACUGUAUCUCCUCUGUUAAAUCCCGGGUGUUCUUUCCGUGGGUGAAAACUCGCCAGACACGGAAAAAAACAAACUAAACCCUAGCAGAGCUGCAGGCCGGGCAGGGGUUGCAGGUGGCCGGGCUCUGGGCAUCCCACGGGAAUCCUCCCGUCGCCUCGUAUAGGGGCGAAAUGGUGCUCGAGGCUCCACAGAUUGGGGCCGAGGUUACGUUUGCGUGGGAAAAGCUUGCGGGGGAAACUCUCGCACCUGGAGCUGGAUUUUUCUUGGUGGAAUACGAUGCAUCGCGAAACAGAAUCCUCUACAUAAACCCCCGUUUUCUGCUUGGGCGGGACGUUAACUGCCCCUAGCAGGGCGAGGAUGGACCCUGGGGUUGCGCAGCUUCCGCCGCCCUGCGCGGCGCGGAUCUGCCUUAUCUGACCGGCUCUGUUCUACCCAGCGACCCCCAAUUAGUGUUCCCCAUCAGUGCCGCUCCUGAGCAGCGCAGCCGGGCGCUUCUUCUGCAGCCGGCAAGAAGGCGCGGAGCUGCCGCCCUGCCCUCAGCGGGUCCCGCACUGGAGCCCUCGCAGGUCCUACCGGAUCCCCGUAGGUCCAAACGGAGCCCCCGGCCCGAGGUGGCAAAGCGAAGGCUUACGGCCGUGGAGGGGGCUGUAGUUACAAACUUCCCUAAACUUUCGCCAGGACUGAGCGCAGCGUUGUCGGUACCGGGAGGGAAAAAAGGCAAACUAAAACAUUUCUUCAAAAGCUUUGUUUCUAAGGAAAACUAGAAAAUCACACUAUUAUUUACCCCUGGUUCCGUUCGGCACUUUUUGUUACUACCGGAGUACUUUUAAUUUCUCAUUCUGACAUUCAAUUUUGAUAAUUAUUGCUUUUUAAAGUGCUCCCGGAGCACCCGAUCCUGCAAUCCCGACAAAGCACGUUCGCUUUCCAUUUCACGAAGCGUUUUGCUGGGCAACAGGGAGGGUCGUCGCUGUUUUCUAUAGGAUGGACGAGUUUUUAUGCAGCAGCCGGCGCCCUGAGCUCAAUUCCCGUUCUGGCCUCCCGCAGCGGGAAGACCCUGCCCUGUCCUGCCGGGGGGAGGCCCCUUGAAACGGGGCCGAUGCCUCCUCACAGGGCAGCUGCGGACCUAGCCGCUUGGGUCCAGCAUGGAGGAGAAAAGUUACCUCUGCUCUGGGUACCUCUGCUCAAUGGUAGUAUCAUUUUGGAGGGGUUUUUUUGGUGUUCACUGUCUCACAUCGUUUGGGGAAAUUCGAGCUUGCAAAGAGCAGAGGGUUUUCUUUUUGGGGGUGGGUUCACUCUGCAACACCCCCCCCCCCCUCAAGCCCCUCCAUCCACCCGAGACAUCAAUCUCCCAGUGACCCGCAUGAGGCAGAAGGAGUUUGCAGUAAGAGAGACGGAACAACUCUCAAAUAAUUCUCCAAGCUUAUAACGAUUCUAUAUUAGCACAUUAAAGUGUCAUUUAGGCCCCUAAUUAAUACGUAUUUCGUUUAAAAUACUUCAUUUUUUUUCUUUUUCCGAGGACUUGAAGUACAUAAUUGCUUGCAGUGGCAUCUUGGAAUAGGAACAUAAGUAUCCCGCUCUGACACGCAUAACCUCGCUGAAUUCCUUCCCUAGAUGAUGUGUGUUCCCAAAUAUUCAAUCUCGCAGGGAUGUGCGCGCUGGGGAAGUCGUACAGACUGUUAUAAAACAGAGCUCCUAAAGCAAAAUCAGCGGUUUCCGUGGAUGUUUCAGGCCCCCGAGGCCCGGGGUGGCUUUUUCUACAUGCAUAAUGUAUGUAAAACAUAUACAUGGGGGUAUUUCCUUCAAAUGUGUGUGCGUGAUUCCAUCGGGCUACCGCUCAGUUACGUUGUGUUGGAUGCUCCCUGGAGUAGUUCUGAACUAAAGGCACUUAUAUUGUCUAGAUUUCUUUUUUAUUAUUAUUUUAUUUUCUUUCCUGGAAGGGGAGAAAAAAAAAGGAAAAACCUUGUUUCGGAGUUUUAGAAAACUUUCCACCGGUGUAGCCUACAAACGGGGGGGAUACUUGGCUCUUCCCGCCGCAGGAACCGCGGGAAAGGUCAGCCCGCUGCGGAGACCCACCGCAGAAACGCGGCUCCCUCUUCCGCGCGCGGGCGCGCACCGAGCAGCGAGGGGACACGGACCGUGGUCCACUGCGACCAGACCUCUCUGUCAGCACCUAGACACACUGAUCCGUGCUGCAGCCGCCGGUGCCAAGGAGCAGGGCAGCGGCGGGGUUUUGCCCUGGAGCCGGUGAGCUCGGUGGGCACGGCCCGGGGCUGUCGGCGGCAGGCAGGGCGGCCCCGGAGCCAUCCUCUUCCUCACUCCCAGUUCAGGAGUAGCAGCCGGACAUCGAAAGUGACUCUUUCUCCCGGGUCCUGCUAGGUCUGGUCUGUUUGAUGCUGCAAUCCAACGAAAAACUGAACUGGAUGGAUAAUUUUCUCCAUAUGGGCAAGCGAGUGCGCACACGGCGGUUCUCUCCAGAAAUCGCCUACCUCCGAUUGUUUUUCACUUCUCACAGACACUUACGGGGAGAAUUAAAGUAAAUAAAUAAAUAAAUAUGAUACGGUAAAGAAAGUGGGUUUUUUGAUCGCGGGUCGGAGGAGGCAGUGGGCUCCGGGAUCCCGGAGACGGGAGAGCUCCCCACAGCCGAGGGCAAAGAGGUGGUGGAAGGCAGAGCAGGAGCCUGGACCUCCUUGGAGGAAGGAGUGUGUGAGGCUGCGAGGGGUCUGCUCCGCACGCAGUGCCGCGGCACAGCCUCGCCGCUGAAAAGCUGCUCUGCAGCUUCCCCGCUCCCCAGCGCAGCGCAGCCAAGCCCCGGACAGAGCUGCCCUCAGCAAACCGCAUGGGCAGCGCAAGCAGCCGGCAGCGGGGGCUCGGCUGCAGGCAGGGAAGGGGAGUGAUGGGGAGCAGGGCUGCCCCGUCUCCGCUUGCGGAAGUUCGCUCCUUCCAGCCUGGCGAACAAGUCCACGCAUCAACAGGCGAGGAUGUUUACGGAGAUGGCUGAUGGCACCUCGCCUGGUCCCCCCGCUUGUGUCACGACCACACCGAACCGCCUCACGAAGCGACCUUCCGAAACUAGGGCUGUUCCUUACAUGCGAGCGAACCUGAUGUGUUGAUCUGUUGUUGUAUCUGUUUGUUCGUAAGAGUUGUGCCGUUUUCCCGCUUGCAGUUUAACUGCGGGCUGCUGCAGAGAAACCCGCUCCCGGCGAUCGCUGCAGUGAGUUAAGGAAAUACUACAGGUGUUACUGCGGUGUUUGGGAAUGAAUUCUCCUUCCUUGUCCCCCCUCCUCCUUCCCGUAUUUAUUUCCUAGCCUACCCAGAUAGCUGGGAAAGGGUCCCACAUACCCCGGAGCUGUAAAUUGAGCGCUGAAAUACUUGAUCUCACUGAUCUUUGGAGAAUUCAAUCUGGCCUCAUUUUACAGGAGGAAGCGAACUCAAUCUCGGAGGUUUUGCGAAGAAAGGUUGUUAUUUCCUAGAGGAUAGGCGUUUAACUUGUUAAAUAUUAGUUUUUAAUUACGUAUUGUUCUUUUGAAAAAUAAUAUUUAUACAUAG